rnacentral:rRNA from 1 species
GGGAAUCUGCCCAAGGGUGGGGGAUAACUAACCGAAAGGUUAGCUAAUACCGCAUAUGCCGUGAGGUAAAAGGAGUAAUCCGCCCCUGGAUGAGCCUGCGUCCGAUUAGCUUGUUGGUAGGGUAAAAGCCUACCAAGGCUACGAUCGGUAGCUGGUCUGAGAGGAUGAUCAGCCACAAUGGGACUGAGACACGGCCCAUACUCCUACGGGAGGCAGCAGUGGGGAAUUUUACGCAAUGGGGGAAACCCUGACGUAGCGACACCGCGUGAGCGAAGAAGCCCUUAGGGGUGUAAAGCUCUGUCAGCAGGGACGAAAAAAAUGACGGUACCUGCAGAGGAAGCAUCGGCUAACUACGUGCCAGCAGACGCGGUAA